ACGAAGGUGGGGGACCCAGUGGCCGUGAUCCGGCCCGGCCGUCGAGAGACGGCCUUGGGGUGAAGCCGAGAACUUCGGCCGGGCAACCUGACGCCCGAACCCGACAGCUAACCCCACAGGCGCCGUCAGGAGAGGA
rnacentral:sRNA from 1 species